UACAGAGGGUGCAAGCGUUAAUCGGAAUUACUGGGCGUAAAGCGUGCGUAGACGGUUACAUAAGUCGGGUGUGAAAGCCCCGGGCUCAACCUGGGAAUUGCAUUCGAGACUGCGUAGCUAGGGUGCGGAAGAGGGAAGCGGAAUUUCCGGUGUAGCGGUGAAAUGCGUAGAUAUCGAAAGGAACACCAGUGGCGAAAGCGGCUUCCUGGUCCAGCACCGACGUUCAGGCACGAAAGCGUGGGGAGCAAACAGG
rnacentral:rRNA from 1 species